rnacentral:lncRNA from 15 species
AAGUUUAGAUCAAUUUCCCAGAAAGUAGAGGGAUUAAAAGUGUUGAUUCUUGUGAAGAGGUUUUCUAGAGAGAUGGACUGAAGUUCAGGAGAGUAACAUCGUUGUCUGUUUACUUAAAGAUUUGUAAUGUCUUCUUUGGUUGAACUGUUUAAACAUAUCAACAUAUCAGCAUACAAAUCGGCUGCAUCAACAGUUGUGACAAUUAUUUGAAUAGAUUUAGUGGCAUUAGGAGGGAAAACUAUCCAGUAAUUCACAAGAAAAAAAGCAAAGAUUGUAGAAAAGUUUGUCAAAAUAAAUGACUUCCUAUUGGAUUAUUUUAGAAAACAAACCUGCAGGGUUUUGUCAGACCACAGAAAAUCUGUUAAGUUCGAAAAAAUCUUUUAUUAAUUCACCUUUUAGAAAAGAAAACUAUGCAAACUACUUGACUGAAGUUUGUUCAGUCAAAGUUAAUUCUGCAUAACAGUCAUUUGGACCAUGUAGCACAAAAUAAUGAGUUAAAGUUGAGAUAUUUUUGUUUGUUCAAUAUUAUCUUGUUUUGAGGCCAAACUGCAGCAGAUUCUGUAGAUUGAAGUUUGUCCCCGUUAGGCUGCCAUAAUGUUGUCUUUGUUAGUUUUCUGAGUCGUUGCCAAAAACGUGUUUCAUGUGUUGUAGUUGAAGGGAAAUUCUGUUUUUACACAAGUAUUUUAAAGGAGCCUCAGUUGUAACGACAUUAUAGCCAAAUUCUGCAUUUGCUGUAUUGUCACUGUAACCAUCACUGGGACAAAAAUCAGCUGUUUGAAAAAGAGGAAAAACAUAAGAAAAUGCUGCCUGUGUCAUCUACACCUCCCAUAAUGCUUUGCUCCACGGUGCUGCUCACUGGGAACAGUUUCCUCUGUCACACACAUUGUAUUUUUCACUCUGUAAAGUAAACUGGGUGAUCCACAGCACCAUGUGGCCACCAGCUUAUUCAACUAACUGCUAUUAACUAACCAGAAUAACUGAACCAGUAACAUCAUGUCUGUAUGAAUGCUGCCUGUAACAAUACAAUAAAACAACUUUGGGAAAGAGACAAGUGUUGUUUUUUACUGUGUUUAAGCUGAUGAAGCACUGUUUAAAGGGUAAUUCUGCUUUUUAAUAGACCAUG